rnacentral:rRNA from 1 species
GACGAACCGUCCUAACGUUGUUCGGAAUCACUGGGCUUAAAGGGCGCGUAGGCGGGCUGCCAAGUCAGGGGUGAAAUCUUUCGGCCCAACCGGAAAAGUGCUUCUGAUACUGGCAGUCUCGAGGGAGGUAGGGGCGCGUGGAACUGGUGGUGGAGCGGUGAAAUGCGUAGAUAUCACUAGGAACGCCGGUGGCGAAAGCGACGCGCUGGACCUUUUCUGACGCUGAGGCGCGAAAGCCAGGGGAGCAAACGGG